AUUCUUAACCCUAAUACACUAAAUCUUCUGCCACAUUUGCUUGAGACCCUCUACUUUUCCCUCUCCCAACCCUAAAAUUUACCUCCUUUUCUAUCUUCGUUGAUACUGUGUAUCAACACUAAUCCUUUAAAUGUUUGAAUUUAGUAAGUUAAAAAAUUAAAUUAAAUUUUAAAAUGAAAAACUGAUAAUGGAUUUGGAUAUUCGAAUCCAAAUAUAUUUGUUGAUAUAAUGAUACAACAAGCGAGGAGUAAGGAGGUGGAUGUGGUGGUGACGAUGAAAACCGAUUCACCUAGUCCGGGUGGAGAGCUAGAGGUUAUAAAGAGUGGAGAUGGAGAGGGUUUGAUAGUGAAGCUAUGAAAGUAAGUUGGAAGAGUGGAGAUGGAGAGGGUUUGAUAGUGAAGCUAUGCUAGUAUAUUUUGAGAGCCGGUCCUUUCUUCAUCGUCUAUUGAGGCAUUUAUAGGCAAAGGUCUCGUGCAGGAUGGUAUUAACAUUUUAAACUUGCCAUCAAGCCAUCAUUGCAAGAUGCAUAGAGCGGAUAUCUUCAAUGGGACGAGGAUGUCUGUGAUGAAACAAAUCUUGUCAUUCACUCUGAUUUGGUGGUAUGGAGCAGUUGAACUCACGUGAGGUUUGGUGACAAAAGAGAUCACAUUUUUAAUAGAAGGGCAGGUGUUUGGAGAGAUGGGUGGUCAUCUUUCUUGGACAAUUACCUUUCGCUCUUCUGGUUGUUUAAAACAGAAGAUCUGAUUUCCUGGCAACCUUCUAGUCGGUAGUAAGUAGAGUGUAUCAAUCGGUUGGCCUUCCAACCUACCAUGUAUCCUUGUUCGUGGAGGGAGCUAUAACAAUAUUAUUUGCAAAAAUAUUGUAAAUUUGAAUGAUG
rnacentral:lncRNA from 1 species